rfam:Bacteroidetes bacterium RIFOXYA12_FTLL_38_20 rifixya3_full_scaffold_11, whole genome shotgun sequence.
ACGGAGUUUCCCGAAAAUCCAUAAAAGAGUAAGGA